GGGGCACCUUCACCUCGUGUCUCACUGGGAUAUGAACCUUCGAUUUGUUCUUAACUAUUCAAAUUUAAUCGUAAAUGAAUCAUUUAGUUGUACAAACAUUUACUGGAGUUCGAGCUACAGGCUAAUGUGGCUAAUCUGAGCCAUGACAGCUGCCUACUGCCCCCUGGUGUCAGGCUGCAGUUAGGAUCUCAAACCCCUCCUCCUCCAUGUUAGCAGAUGGGACAUGGACCAAACUAAAACAUCAGAGUGGACACUACAUGUGUCUGUCAUUUCAGGUAGUUCCUAUCACACUGAUGUUUGUUCAAGUGUUUCUGAUCAGUGGUGUUUUAAUAGUUAUUUGAUGAUAUCAAAACAAGCUCAGACCUCAUGAUUGACAGCUGAGACUGACUCCUGAUUGGUCGCGCUAGAUUCUCAUAUCCGAGAUAUUCUGUCUUCAUUGUGGGACAGUGGGAGGAGGCGGAGCUAUAGAACAGAUCUUUUCAUCACAAGACUGUUUGGAGGAUUUGUGACGUCAAGUUUCAGGAGCAGGUUUUAGUUUUUGCUGAUCAGCAGCUUCUGAGGAUUCAAGUGAACAGUAGAAUGUUCUCUGUGGAGGUGGAAUCGUUUUCUUUAGUCACUCAGAUUUUUAUCAAAGACCAAAUACAAGAAAAAUAAAGAAGUAGUUGAGCUGUGAUGAGUUAUUCAGCUGUUCUCCGUCUCUCUGUUAGCACAAUGCUAGUUAGUGUUUAUCAGACUGUUAGUCCUGCUGCACAUUCUGGAGGAUCUAGAGAUGAAGGACAGCAGCUUGUCUCAGUUGAAGUGCCGUUGAGCAGGACCCAGAGCCCGGAGCUGUCUGCACUCUGAACCCUGAGGUGACACCACAGGAACCAAAGGAACAAACUUUAAAUGAACUGAUCUCCAGAAAAAUCCACAUCUGGGAUCUAACGUUAUUUUUCAUCUCAGGACGAACAAUCCUCCCGACGUCAAAUUCAUCUCAGAUCAAAGGGACCAUGAAUCUCAAUGAAGAACAAACUCUGGAGAUGAACAGACAGAAAAACCUCGGCCGUGGACCAGAACCAAGAACCACUGACGUCUCCCACAGACCAUCAGGGUGCCUCACCAGCCGGCUCGGGUUGGUUCUGACCCUGAUUCCCAGUUUAUCGUCUGUGGAAGGACCUCACGUCAAACUGGUCUAACAAACAUAUCACUCCCAACAAGAGUCAGACCAGGGUUACGUUUCCAUCCAGGAUGAACUGGAGGCGCUGUGGGAACUUGUCUGGGAAAUGAUGAUCGUUUAGCUUUAAGGGCUUUCUGCUCUUCGUUCCAUUUACGAUAUAAAAGGGGUUCUGAGGGUUCUGAGGUGUUGAGGGUUCUGAGGUGUUGAGGGUUCUGAGGGUUCUGAGGUGUUGAGGGUUCUGAGGGUUCUGAGGGUUCUCAGGUGUUGAGGGUUCUGAGGUGUUGAGGGUUCUGAGGGUUCUGAGGUGUUGAGGGUUCUGAGGUGUUGAGGGUUCUGAGGUGUUGAGGCUCUUGGUUUGUGGAGACGUUUACUGUUUAGAAGUCGAUGCUGAGGGACAAACUGAGACUAUGAACUGUUCUCUUUGCACUGGGUUUAAUGUCUUGUCUGUAUAGAGGGAACUCCACUGAACACAAAUCUAAAGUCCAUAAUGUUCAACACUUUUUGUACAGAAAGAGAUGUGUGGUUGUUUUAUAUGGUUGUAUUUAUCUUAAAGGAAUAGUUGAACAUCUUAGUGAAUAAACUGUGUGUUUUCAUGCAGAGAUGGAGAUCAGAUCCAAAUCCCUCUCAUGUGAGUUCAGUAGGAAAUCUGUUGUAAAUAAGUCAGAUACAAGAUGUAAGUGUAAAUUUAAAAGAGGGCGGAGUCUUUAUGCUAAGCUAAGCUAUCUGCCUCCAGCUCGGAUGUUCUCCCUCUCAACAAUAAAGUGAAUAAGAAAAGUUACUUCUCCUCUAAAGAUGUGAGUCUCUAUUAUAAUGUAAACUUUAAAAAACAGAGGAUUUUUGUUGGAUCUGUUCCAUGAACAUGAAACUGCUCCACACCAGAGUCAUGUUCCUUCAUUACUGGAAGUUCACAUCAGGCUCUGUGGUUUGUGCAGAUAAACCAGUUGUGUCCAGGUCUCUGUGUUUAUGUAGCAUCUCUCCUGUAAGACUUCUGUAUACAGACUUUCUCCUCGAGGACUGAUCCUGCAUCUGUUCUGCGUUAGCUGUGCAGACAAUACUUUCUUCUACAUGAAACAGUAGAAGAAAAUGGAGCGUUCUGCCCAGUGAAACCAGUUCUACUCACCACAUCGUUCCUUGUGGCUGAAAACAGAGGAACAUUCGACUUUCCAAACAUUUCCUCUGGAGGACCGAGCCGCAGGCCAGCAGCAGUUCAAGCUUCAAGCAUUAAAACAUAUUUCUGCAUUUGACAUUCUUCUCUGUUGACACCAAACAGUCUUGUUUCCAUUUUAAUUGACCGUGACACACAAAGAACAUCAGAGACAGGCGUUUCUGGAGCCGUGCAAUAACUCUGGGCUUUUGGUAAUAAUUAUCAGAAGGAAAAAAAUGAAACACCCAAGAUUUUGGGAUUAAAACAAAGAACAUUUUCUCAGCAGUCGUAUAACGACAAAUUAAAACCAGGAGUUCCCCAGAAGCGUCACUGUGAUUCUUCUGAACAUGUCUGACAGGGAGCGUUUAUAUAUUUCCUCUAUAAGUGUAGAAAAUUGUUUUGUUUUUGUUUGUAUUUGAAACGUGUGGGUUGGUUGUACAUGGAUCUGUUUUGUUUCAUAAAGUUUUCCACAGAAUAAACAAUCAAUAAGUGUU